UGCCCAUUCCCUUGAUGUCCACAAUAUCACCUUUCUUGUAGAUUCGCCUGUAUGUUGCCAAAGGAACAACUCCAUGUUUUCUAAAAGACCUAGAGGAGAUAUUGUGGACAUCAA